rnacentral:lncRNA from 1 species
UCCGUUGUUAACUUUGUAAUGUUGUGUUUAGUUGUGUGGCUGGUCUAUGUGUGUGUAAGCUUCCUAUUUGAUGUAUUCCCAUGUAACGGCUAUUAAUGAAUAAAAAGUGCUGGUCUGCUUUGUUAAAUAUUCCUUAUGUAUACGUAAUUAAUAAUCCCAGAGGUAAUCCGGAUCUUGAGUGAACCUCAAUCUACUCCUAUCCUAAGUAUAUUGCUUUUUUGGGUGUGUUUGCAUAUAUGACUAGUAGUCUUCAAUAAUUCCGUUGUUAACUUUGUAAUGUUGUGUUUAGUUGUGUGGCUGGUCUAUGUGUGUGUAAGCUUCCUAUUUUAUGUAUUCCCAUGUAACGGCUAUUAAUGAAAAAAAGUGCUGGUCUGCUUUGUUAUAUAUUCCUUAUGUAUUCUUAAUUAAUAAUCCCAGAGGUAAUCCGGAUCUUGAGUGAACCUCAAAGCCAUGCCAGCCUGGAGUUAAUUCUUUCUAUGGACAGCCUUUUGUUUAUGACCUAAUCUAGGCAUUAACCAUUUAAAAAGAUGGAUUUAGGUUUUGGAGGUAG